rnacentral:rRNA from 1 species
UACAGAGGGUGCAAGCGUUAAUCGGAAUUACUGGGCGUAAAGCGUACGUAGGCGGAUAUUUAAGUCGAAUGUGAAAUCCCCGGGCUUAACCUGGGAACUGCAUCCGAUACUGGAUAUCUGGAGUAUGGUAGAGGAAAGUGGAAUUCCCGGUGUAGCGGUGAAAUGCGUAGAUAUCGGGAGGAACAUCAGUGGCGAAGGCGACUUUCUGGACCAAUACUGACGCUGAGGCACGAAAGCGUGGGGAGCAAACAGG